AAAUGUCUUUCAGGAAAAUGGCGACGAACAAUUAUUACAGCUUUACCGCCGGUGGUGUUCAGUAUGGAACGACCCAACCAGCAACUUACCAGACUAAUCAGACUGCAACACCUGCAGCAGGAUAUACUGUUCAACAUCCAGCAGCUGCAGCUGCUGCUCAGCCUUAUGCAGGUGCAGCUGCGGCUGUUGCAGUAGCAGCAGCAUCUCGUACAAUCCAAACUGGGUAUGAGACGUACCAACCUACAACAGGUCAGACCACUACAACCUAUCCAUUUGCAUCUCGGCAACAGAGUGCUUAUGAAAAAGUUCAGGCAUAUUAUCCACAGGCAGCACAAGUUGGAUAUUCUACAACUGACACUGCUACAGCAGCAUAUCAGUCAGGUAUAACUUCAAAUAUUGUUUAUGGAUACAGCAGUAGUGCUGCUCAGUUAGCAGGAGUCAAGAGUAAAACAACUGUCACUAAAUAUCCUCAUGCUGGAAACAGUGUUGUACAAUCAGUAGUGGCUACAGGAAAACCUUCAUAUUCCACAAAUACAGCUUAUGCAUCUCAACGUCAAGUGCAAAAGAACCAAAACUUGCAGACUGGAGCUGUUUCAUCUUAUUCCUACACAGGAAGCACUGUUGGAGCAUCACCUUCCACCUACUCCACUUAUAAUACAGGAAAUACAGGAAACUACUCAAACAAAACUUCAGUAUAUGGACAUCAACAACAACAAUCAACCCAGUCUAGUGCAGCUGUUGCUUCUAACAACAUUACUAACCAGCAAAAUACCACUUCCAUUGUACAAACUCAGAAGACCCACGUUAACACUUGGUCAGGUUUUAAAAGAGGACCAGUGAGGUUUCAAAAACCAAAACUUCCACCAAAACCAGAGCAGUUACAUUAUUGUGAAGUUUGCAAGAUUAGCUGUGCUGGACCACAGACAUACAGGGAGCAUUUAGAAGGGCAAAAACACAAGAAAAAAGAAGCAGCAUCAAAACAGGGAAAUAAUGUACAGAAUCCCCGGGGAGGAACGUCUCUUCGUUGUGAACUGUGUGAUGUUACUUGUACUGGAGCAGAUACCUAUGCAGCACAUAUUCGUGGGACUAAGCAUCAGAAAGUUGUGAAAUUGCACACAAAACUUGGCAAGCCAAUUCCUUCAGAUGAUCCUGUAGUGAUUAGUACUGCCUCAUCAAAAGGUUCCAAAGGUACUGAUGGUAGUAGUGUUAAAGCAGAUGUUGCAUCUGGAGACAAGAAGACAGUUUCAGUGCCCAAAAUAAAUUUUGUGGGUGGAACAAAACUAAAUACAACUGGAUCUCAAGACAAACAGGAAGAAAAUAAAUCAGAAGAAAAAACUGAAGAUACCAAAAUUGAUCUUUCUAAACUGGAUUCAAAAGCUGAUAUUCAGCCAGUGGGGCAAGAUUACAUAGAUGAAAUAAAGAAUGAUGAUGGUAAAAUAAUCAGCUUCCAGUGCAAAUUAUGUGAAUGUCGAUUUAAUGAUCCAAAUGCUAAGGAAAUGCACAUGAAGGGCCGUAGACAUCGCUUACAGUACAAGAAAAAGGUGGAUCCUGAGCUUGUAGUAGAUAUCAAGCCAAGUUUACGUCAGCGCAAAAUUCAAGAGAGUACCUUACGUCGGCAGCAGCUACGUGAAGAAUUUUAUCGACGGCGUGAAGAAGAACGUUGGAGAGAAGAAUUGAGACUUAUGGAAGAAGAAGAGAGAAUGUAUUGGGAAGAACGUCGUAGAUUUGAAGAAGAAAUUGAGUUUAUGGAGUGGCAAAGACGCUCUGGUAGGGAUCCUAGAGGCCUACCCCCAAUUCCUGUACCACCACGUUCAAUGUUUGGACCUCCUCCUAUGAUUCCCCCAAUAAUGUCAUCUGUGGGUCCACCAGUCUCUCGACCAGAUUCUGCUGAUGAUCGUCAUAUCAUGGCUAAACACUCUUCCAUUUACCCAAAAGAAGCAGAACUGAAUGCAGUGCAGACUGUUUUAACUGACACUGAAAAGGCUUUGAAAUUAGUUUCCGAUUACUUAACUGAAAGUCAGUCAGCUGAAAAGAAACAAGAAGAAACUGUUGAACCCAAAAAAGAUAUUAAGGAAACUGAAAUAAAGAAGGAAGCAAAUGAAGAAAAGGAACCAAGUGAGCUGAAUGUUACUAAAAACCAAGAAAAAGAAGCACAACAGUCAGCUCCCCCCCAACGUGUAUUGAAAGGAGUUAUGCGGGUCGGAGGUUUAGCCAAAGGGUUGUUGCUUACUGGUGAAACUUCAGUUCAGCUUGUGGUUAUGUGUGCUGAAAAACCAACAAGAACCUUGCUGGAAAGAGUGGCAGACAAUCUUCCCAAGCAAUUUGAGGUGGUUGCUUCACAAACAAAUUACGAAGUAAAGCGAUGCGUAGAAGAAGCAGCAAUUGUAGUCCAUGCAGAAUCGGAACCUGCCGUGACAGUGACUGUAACGUUAACUUCUCCUCUGAUGAGAGACGCUAAAGAUAGUGAGGGAAGUAGCACUGGCAAGAGCAAGUGGUUUACAGUCGUGUUUAAUUGUUAUUCGAAUAUUGCGGGAUUUAUGUCAGAGAGUUCCCACAUGGAGCAAAUUAAAUAAUUGGGCAUUAGAACUCCUUGCAGAAAAGGUAAUUGGUAGUUGUCCUCAACCAUUGAAUCCUGGUGAUGCACUUCGUCGUGUUUUUGAAGCUGUAGCCUCUGGUGUUAUAUUACCAACUGGUCCUGGGUUGCUGGAUCCUUGUGAGAAAAACCCAACAGAUGCAGCUGCUAAACUUGCCAAUCAGGAGAGAGAAGACAUUACUGCUAGUGCACAACAUGCCUUGCGCUUAAUAUCAUUUCGUCAGAUCCACAAAGUGCUAGGCAUGGAUCUCCUACCCCCUCCCAAAUACAGUAGGGGACAAUUUAAUCGAAAACGUCGUCGUGACAACAACACAGAGGUUAAUGAGGGAGAAG
rnacentral:misc_RNA from 1 species